rnacentral:rRNA from 1 species
UGACUCAACGCGGGAAAUCUUACCGGGUCCGGACAUAUCGAGGAUUGACAGACAGUUACCAUGCCCUUUCGAAAGGAGUCAGGUUUUAAACCUAAUGGCUCUUUCAUGAUUAUAUGAUAGGUGGUGCAUGGCCGUUCUUAGUUCGUGGAGUGAUCUGUCUGCUUAAUUGCGUUUCAAAUUUUUAUUUGAGGACCAGGUUUUGGUUUGGGUAGUGGUCCUACGAUGACUGUGAACUGUCAUGUCUUCGGAUGUGCGACUAUCGGUCUAGGAUCGCAUCUCAGCCCCUGGGACUCUUUUGAACGCAACGGACGUGAUUGCAACCCCUUGUUGAGAUUAGAGGAGUCUCGAUAUUCAUUGGCCAAACUUACCGCUUCGAGCUUGCUCGUGCAGUUUUGUUAGCCGGUGGAUAAACUCGGGGGACUGCUGACUAUAACCAUUUCUCAAAACAGAGGAAGGU